rnacentral:rRNA from 1 species
GACGAACGCUGGCGGCGUGCCUAAUACAUGCAAGUCGAACGCAGUGGGGACGGUUGAGUAACACGUGGGUAACCUCCCAUCAGAGGGGAUAAUACUUGGAAACCGGCUCUAAACCGAAACUGCUGGAUGGACCAGCGUGGCAUUAGCUAGUUGGUGAGGUAACGGCUCACCAAGGCAACGAGGCAUAGCGGACCUGUGAGGGUGAUGCGCCACACUUGGUCUGAGACACGGCCCAGACUCCUACGGUAUGCAGCAGUGGGGAAUCUGCGGCAAUGAAGGAAAGUAGGACAGAGCAAUGCCGCGUGAGUGAAGAAGGUUUUCGGAUCGUAAAGCUCUGUGGUUGGAGAAGCGGUAUCCGACCAGAAAGCCACGGCUAAAGACAUGCCGGCAGCCGCGGUAAUAC